UACGGAGGGUGCAAGCGUUAUCCGGAUUUACUGGGUUUAAAGGGUGCGUAGGUGGAUUGGUAAGUCAGUGGUGAAAUACUUUCGCUUAACGAAGGAACUGCCAUUGAUACUAUCAAUCUUGAAUGUAGUGGAGGUAGGCGGAAUGCGUCAUGUAGCGGUGAAAUGCUUAGAUAUGACGCAGAACACCAAUUGCGAAGGCAGCUUGCAUCACUACUAUUGACACUGAGGCACGAAAGCGUGGGGACAAACAGG
rnacentral:rRNA from 1 species